CUCAAUAUCAACCAGCCCUGACUACAGUCAACCAGCGUGUUGUUCUUGUCUUUCCUUUCUUUGGGAUCACCGUGUCUGCCAGAAUGGAAGGACUGAUUUCCUAGAUUGCCAAAGAAUCGACACUUCAGGGAUAGCGAUCAUGUUCCAGCAAGAAGGCCAACUAAGUUAUGCUGUUACACAAACCUGAAUAUGCUGAGUAAAUUGUACUUUUAAAAAACACGUGACAAGGAAUUCCAAAACCAGCAGGAGAGAGAAGAGACUCUCCAGUUGCCAAAAACUAGAGAAAGCAUAAAGCAAAAUAGAAUUUACUCAACUGAUUUGAAAAUGUGAAGAAACUUGAAUGCAAAUAGCACCAUCAUUCAUGAUCACCAGAAACUGGAUGCAUACGAUAUGACCUUCAAUAGAAACCAAGUGCAGAUAUAAUGAAACUAAACUUUACUAGGAUAUCAAGGGACAUACGACAUGUACUAUUUUCCAUAACCUUCCUACCCCACUGAGUAGUGGACAUUAUUCUGAAAUGGUUUCUUGGAAGAAGAUAAAGGAGAUACAUAUACACUCCUUCAAACAAGAUUAUUAUCACAGGUGCAAAAGAUCAGUUUUGACAGGAUUGUUUCCAACUGCAAUCUGAGCAUGUCUCCAGAGAAAACUAUUCACUAGCAAUUGGAGAGUUUAUGUUAAGCUUGAGAUGAAUAUCAUUGAAAAUAUCAGC